CCAAUAGCGUAUAUUAAAGUUGUUGCAGUUAAAAAGCUCGUAGUUGAAUUUCGGGGUCAGUAGGUCGGUCGUGCCACUGGUAUGAACUGGUUUUACUGAUUCCUCCCUCUUGAAGAACUGUAAUGCCAUUAAUUUGGUGUUGCAGGGAAUCAGGACUGUUACUUUGAAAAAAUUAGAGUGUUUAAAGCAGGCUUUAGCUUGAAUACAUUAGCAUGGAAUAAUGAAAUAGGACGUUUGAUCCUAUUUUGUUGGUUUCUAGGAUUGACGUAAUGAUUAAUAUGGAUAGUUGGGGGCAUUAGUAUUCAAUUGUCAGAGUUGAAAUUCUUGGAUUUAUUGAAGAAUAACUACUGCGAAAGCAUUUGCCAAGGAUGUUUUCAUUAAUCAAGAUCGAAAGGUAGGGGAUCGAAGACGAUCAGAUACCGUCGUAGUCUUAACCAUAAACUAUGCCGACUAGGGAUCGUAUGAUGUUAAUUUUUUAAUGACUCAUUCGGCGCCUUACG
rnacentral:rRNA from 1 species